AUUGCAUGGCUGGGGCCAUGUCUCUGAGGAGGGGACACUGCAGCCGAGGGUGGAAGAGACGGCAGGUAGUGAGCAGGAGGAAGGGUGACACACUGGGAGCACCUCAGUGGCUCAGGAAGGUACCGGCCUCCCAGUGCCUCACCUCCCCCCCCCCCCCCACACACACACACACAUCUACCCCUCCCCUGUCACAGCCAGGACCUCCUUGUCUCCGGAACAUGCCUGUGCCCAAAUCUCCCCUUCCGACCUGUUACUUCUGCUCUCCACUCCCAUAGGCUCCGUCUUUCCACCUCAUUAAGACGGCUGUGGGGAGGGAGGUGGGACACACCCACUGCCUCCCCUUUCCUUCUGCACCUGGCUGGUGGACAGAUCUGCAGUCCAGAGCCCUCAGAUCCAAUCCCACGGCUCACUUCUCUCUCCAGUUAACCUGGCUUGCGACUCAUCAAUUCUACUGAUCUUUUCGAAGAAUUAGCUUUGGUUUCAUUGAUUUUUUUCUAUCGAUUUCAUUUCUUCAACUUCACUCAUUCCUACUCUAAUUUUUUUAAGCUUAUUUUUAUUUUGAGAGAGAGGGGAGGGACAGAGAAAGAGGGAGGGAGUGAAUCCCAAGCAGGUUCCACACUGUCAGCACAGAGCCCAAUGUGGGGCUUGAACUCAUGAACCCUGAGAUCAUGACCUGAGCCGAAAUCAAGAGCCACACUUCACCGACUGAGCCACCCAGGUGCCCCUCUGCUCUAAUUUUUAUUAUUUAUUUUCUUCUGCUUAUGUUGGAUUUAAUUUGCUCUUCUUUUUCUAGUUUCCUAAGGUAGAACUUAGAUUAUUGGUUAUAGAUAUCUCUUAUUUUCUGAUAUAUGCAUUAGAUGCUAUAAAUCUCCCUCUAAGCAUUGCUUUCUUUGCAUCCCACAAAUUUUGAUAAGUUGGGUUUCAUUUUCAUUUAGUUCAAAAUAUUUUAAAAUUUCUCGUGCCAUUUCUUCUUUGACUCAUGUUAUUCACAAGAGUGCUAUUUAAUCUUCCAAGUAUUUGGGGGGACUUUCCAGGCUUCUUUCUUUACUGAUUGCUAAUUUAAUUCCAUUGUGGUCAGAGAGCAGACGGUGUAUGAUUUCUAUUCUUUCAAGUUUCUUAAGGGGAGUGUUCUGGCCCAGAACGUGAACCGUCUUGGAGCGUUCCACGCGAGCUUACGGAGAAUGUGUGUGCCGCCACUGUUGAGUGAAGUGGCCUAGAGUCCACUAGAGACUAGAUUCAGGACUGUGAUGGACGGUCUUAACCGUGUCCUUCGUGAUUCUCUGCCCCCUGCCAGCAGGGUGUUGAAAUGUCCCACUGCAGUAGUGGAUUCAUCUGUUUCUCUCUUGUCGUUGCCUUGACAUCUAUUCUAUCUGAUAUCAACAGAGUGAUACCAGUCUUGUUUUUAAUCAGCGUUUACAUAAUAUGCCUUUUAUCCAUUAUUUUAUUUUUAGCCUUUCUGUGUGUCCUUAUGAUGUACUUGUGUCUCAUAUAAACAGCAUAUAGCUGUGUUGCGUUCGCUUUUUUAUUCAAAAAAUAAAAUCUUUGUUAACUGGGAUAUUCUGUCCAUUAUCGUCGAAUAAAACUCAUUGAUACGUUU